GAGUUUGAUCCGUGGCUCAGAUUGAACGCUGGCGGCAUGCCUUACACAUGCAAGUCGAACGGCAGCACGGGAGCUUGCUCCUGGUGGGCGAGUGGCGAACGGGGUGAGUAAUGCAUCGGAACGUAUCCUGGAGUGGGGGAUAACGUAGCGAAAGUUACGCUAAUACCGCAUAGUUCUGUGAGCAGGAAAGCGGGGGACCUUCGGGCCUCGCGCUCUUGGAGCGGCCGAUGUCGGAUUAGCUAGUUGGUGAGGUAAAGGCUCACCAAGGCGACGAUCCGUAGCAGGUCUGAGAGGAUGAUCUGCCA
rnacentral:rRNA from 1 species